rnacentral:misc_RNA from 1 species
CUCUCUCUCUCUCUCUCUCUCCCAAACAAUCUCCGCCACAUUUUAUUUUAGAUCAUUUUACAUUGCUGGGACCAGAUUCCCACUAAGAUGCAGCUUUAGACAUAUCUUUGCUGGAUCUGUUGUACUUCAUGUGACUCUUGACAAGCUGCCCAGCUGCAAUGGCAGACAUCAAGGAGAGCUCACCAGCCAAAACUGAACCAGCUACGAUGGCAGCAAGGAGCCUUGAGUUUGAUCCUGGCGACUCUUUGUUUGCACCCUUCACCCCAAGCAAAUUGAGACAAGCAGACUGAGAUGCAAGUUGAGUUCCACCUCCGACUGUACCCACCUCAAUGGAGGGCAUGGUCACAGAGAUAUGGAGAUCCUUUCCAUCAUUGACAGCUUCCAUCAUGGUAAUGCAAUGAGAACUCUCAACAUUCUGUGCUGGAUCCUGGCCAGUGGCAAUAAAGAUUGCAGAUACGAUGUUGCCUGCAUGGGCAUUAAAUCCACCCAAAGCACCAGCAACAGCAGAACCAGCAAGAUUCUUGAGCAUGUUAAGCUCCACUAGGGAGGCCACAUUGGUUUUCAACACCUUCUUCACCACCUCUUCCUUGAUAAUUGCCUCACAAACAACUGAUUUGCCACGUCCUUCAAUCCAAUUUACAGCAGCAGGCUUCUUAUCCGAACAAAAAUUUCCUAGCCAAUUGAGACACAUAUAAAUGAUAAAUCCCAUGAACAAAGAAACAGUAUUGCAAGUUUUAACGAAGCAACACCAAUCCUCAAAUAAUUCCAUCCAAACAAAGAAAUUAAAAUAUACAAUGGAAAAAGGACUUGCAUCCAACAAAUUGAAAGAGAAACCAAAGAACAAUCUAGGAGUAAGAAAUUAUGCGGAUAACUACCACUUUUCCUAAACUUGCCAAAAAAAGUGAUGUACAAAUGUGAUUGUUGUAUUAUGUGUAUCAUUCAAAAUUGCAAUAUUCAACCGAAAAUUCGCAAGAACCUUUUAGCUAAUUGCAGGACAAAGGCAACUUCCCCAAACAGUGAUAUAAACUUCAAAGAUUAAAAAGGAAUUUACCUGAGAUUCCAAUGAC